rnacentral:rRNA from 1 species
UACGGAGGGUGCAAGCGUUAAUCGGAUUUAUUGGGCGUAAAGGGGGCGUAGGUGGAAGAGAAAGUCACGUGUGAAAUUUCGGUGCUUAACGCCGAAGCUGCACGUGAAACUCCUUUUCUAGAGGAUGGACGGAGAAAACGGAAUUCCACAAGUAGCGGUGAAAUGCGUAGAUAUGUGGAAGAACACCGGUGGCGAAGGCGGUUUUCUAGUUUAUACCUGACACUGAGGCCCGAAAGCGAGGGGAGCAAACAGG